GUAAAUGUAGAUUUAUCAGAAGGGGAAAAUGAGAGAUGGCCAAAAACAAGGUGCACGGUUGCUGAAGCACAGUUGACAUAUGGACCUCAGGAGAAGUGCUGACCUCACCCUUUCUAAUGAAUGUGAUCUAUAUUGCUCACACAGAGAAGGCUACUGUCAGGAAAUGGAGCACCACCUAACCCUGCUCUGGAUCCUCCUGCAGGCUGUGGGGCCCCUGGCAGCUAGAGCCCUGCCUUUGGGCAAGGAAUGACAUAGGCUCUCCCGUGCCGAGGGGCUGGCUCUGGGAGCCCGAGGCACCCCCUCAUGCACCUGGGCCUCUCUGGGGGACGUCCAGGCAAGGCCCUACCCUGGCACUGGGCUCCAGACUUUCUUCAGCUGUGUCAAGAGGAGGGAAACCAGCUCCUGAAACCCUUGGUGGAGAUUAUCUGGACCCUGCAGGGCUUGAAGAGGCUAGGAAGAAUGAGUAAGGAAGAGGACACCAACAGCCCUGAGAAAUGGCUCCAGGAAGACACGACCAUCAUUGCACAGUUCCACCUAAACCAGGACUGGACACUGAAGUAAAUCGGGUAGGAGAAUACACUUCCCGUUUAUAAAAAUAUCCUUCCUGUGUGGAAGAGCCCUCUUCCUGCAAACACUCAUCUGUGUACAGCAUCCCGGACCUGUUUCUGUGUGGACACAGGCAGAGCCAUUGGGGGCAGGGAGUGCAGCUAUUACAGAUAUUCCAUCAGCCUGAAGUACCAAAGAAAUGAACAUAUUGGUUGUAGCACCUCUGGAAAUCAAAUACAGCCCCAAGCAACCCCAGGAGUCACUCAAGAUGCCAUCCUUCUGGAAUGAGGGGCUUUAUCUCUGGCUUACAGUUAAAUCUAUCUGUGACGACUUCCGGAACCGGUGUCUUGCUGCCAUGAACUUAUUUUGCCAACUUAUACACAGUGUAUCCGCCUCUUGUGAUUUGGUUGUGGCUCAUGGCUCACACGUUCACAGAAGCUGAGGAUUUGAGCUGUGUGCAUGAACUGAUACAUUAAAAAUAAAAUUAAAUCUCAAAAGGUGGUGAGCUGUAUG
rnacentral:lncRNA from 1 species